rnacentral:rRNA from 1 species
CCAAUAGCGUAUAUUAAAGUUGUUGCAGUUAAAAAGCUCGUAGUUGAAUUUCGGGGUUAGUAGGUUGGUCAUGCCUCUGGUAUGUACUGGUCUUACUGAUUCCUCCUUCCUGAUGAUCCGUAAUGCCAUUUAUUUGGUGUUGCUGGGAAUUUGGACUGUUACUUUGAAAAAAUUAGAGUGUUUAAAGCAAGCUAACGCUUGAAUACAUUAGCAUGGAAUAAUGAAAUAGGACGUUCGAUCCUAUUUUGUUGGUUUCUAGGAUUGACGUAAUGAUUAAUAGGGAUAGUUGGGGGCAUUAGUAUUAAAUUGUCAGAGGUGAAAUUCUUGGAUUUAUUGAAGACUAACUACUGCGAAAGCAUUUGCCAAGGAUGUUUUCAUUAAUCAAGAACGGAAGUUAGGGGAUCGAAGACGAUCAGAUACCGUCGUAGUCUUAACCAUAAACUAUGCCGACUAGGGAUCGGAUGAUGUUAAUUUUUUAAUGACUCAUUCGGCGCCUUACG